GCCAUCCGUCCCACCUUGACAACGGGCAUUUGGCCACCAAACAUCAAAACAGCGCUCAUCUGGAGGAGAAUCCUGAAAGUGUCACGGAUGUUAAUGGCAUUGAACUCCUUAAAACUCUCAGCGCAAUCUCCCCCUUGCAACAAAAAAGCAUUGCCCAUUGCAGCCUCACUGAGCCUCUCCUCUAAGCUCCUAGCCUCACCAGCGAACACAAUAGGAGGGAAAGCAUCCAGGGUCAUGAGCACCGAUUCGAACUCCUCCCUAUCAGGGUAUUCAGGAAGCUGCAAAGCCUUCUUCAAUUUCCAGCUGUCCACGCUCCAUUUCCCAGGAUCAUUGGUAGUGGGCGCAGCCGCAGCUGCUGGUGAUGAUGUAGAUGUUUUUGUCAACUGUUGUUUCCCAGCUUUAUCGGAGACAAUGGGAUUAUUAGAGGGCUCGGCUGCAUGGACGGCGGAGAUGUGGAGGACGGAUCGGGAGGGGUUGGUGAAAAAAGAAGGUUGG
rnacentral:misc_RNA from 1 species